rnacentral:tRNA from 1 species
AUGUUGAUAGUAUACCAGUACAGUUGCCUUCCAAGCAAAAAGGCCAAGCCGGUCAACAUG